UGGCGGACGGGUGAGUAACGCGUGGAUAACCUGCCGUAUACGAGGGGGAUAACACUUAGAAAUAGGUGCUAAUACCGCAUAAGCGCACGGUUCCGCAUGGAACAGUGUGAAAAACUCCGGUGGUAUACGAUGGAUCCGCGUCUGAUUAGCCAGUUGGCGGGGUAACGGCCCACCAAAGCGACGAUCAGUAGCCGGCCUGAGAGGGUGAACGGCCACAUUGGGACUGAGACACGGCCCAAACUCCUACGGAAGGCAGCAG
rnacentral:rRNA from 1 species